rnacentral:rRNA from 1 species
UAACCUGCCCAAGAGAUCGGGAUAACACCUGGAAACAGAUGCUAAUACCGGAUAACAACAGAUGAUGCCUAUCAACUGUUUAAAAGAUGGUUCUGCUAUCACUCUUGGAUGGACCUGCGGUGCAUUAGCUAGUUGGUAGGGUAACGGCCUACCAAGGCGAUGAUGCAUAGCCGAGUUGAGAGACUGAUCGGCCACAUUGGGACUGAUACACGGCCCAAACUCCUACGGGAGGCAGCAGGU